CCUACGGGAGGCAGCAGUAGGGAAUAUUGGGCAAUGGAGGCAACUCUGACCCAGCCAUGCCGCGUGUAGGAAGAAUGCCUAUGGGUUGUAAACUACUUUUGUGAACGCAUGUGUACCGAUAGAAUAAGCACCGGCUAACUCCGUGCCAGCAGCCGCGGUAAUACGGAGGGUGCAAGCGUUGUCCGGAUUUAUUGGGUUUAAAGGGUGCGUAGGCGGUUAAUUAAGUCAGUGGUGAAAUCCUGGAGCUCAACUUCAGAACUGCCAUUGAUACUGGUUGACUUGAGUACAGACGAGGUUGGCGGAAUUGAUGGUGUAGCGGUGAAAUGCAUAGAUACCAUCAAGAACACCGAUUGCGAAGGCAGCUAACUAGGCUGUACUGACGCUGAGGCACGAAAGUGUGGGGAUCAAACAGGAUUAGAUACCCUUGUAGUC
rnacentral:rRNA from 1 species